GGGUGAUCAUGGGAUUCAAGGGAAGGAUGUUCCUGGUCUGAGGGGCUUCCCAGGAGACAAAGGCCUCCUAGGCACUGCUGGCUCUCCUGGACCCCCUGGGCUCAUCGGUCUAUGGAACAGCCUGGAGCAGUGGGAGCAGAUUGGGAGCCCGGAGCUCAUGGACCCCAGGGAUACUUUGGAGCCAGAGUGUGCGGAGCCAAAGGCAAUAAAGGAACAAGAGGAUUCACGGACCUACAGGAUCCACAAGGUCCCCUGAGAGGUGUUGGGGACCUGGGUCCUCCUGGAGAGAAGGUAAUUGGGAAAGGGCUGAAGGGGAUGAAGGGACCAGUCUUGUGGAUGAGGAAUGAGAGUUGGAUUUCUGCCAAUUUUUGUUGA
rnacentral:lncRNA from 1 species